CGGGAGGCGAGUGAGGAUCGCGGCGUGCUUCGGCGCGUCGAGGAAAGUCCGAGCUCCACAGGGCAGGGUGCCGGGUAACGCCCGGGCGCCGAGAGGCGACGGAAAGUGCAACAGAGAGCAAACCGCCGAUGACCCGCUUCACCGCGGGCACAGGUAAGGGUGAAAGGGUGCGGUAAGAGCGCACCGCGCUUCCGGUAACGGAAGUGGCAUGGUAAACCCCACCCGGAGCAAGGCCAAAUAGGGGACGAGGAGCUGCCCGCUCCAUCCGAGUCCCGGGUAGGCUGCUUGAGGGCACCGGUAACGGUACUCCCAGAGAAAUGAUCUUCCCCGCGCAAGCGGGACAGAACUCGGCUUAUUCCGCCUCCCAUAUU
rnacentral:RNase_P_RNA from 1 species